UACAGAUACGACCGAAACGACAGACUCAACCAUUUGGAAGCCAGGCUUUACUGGUGUUGGUAGACGUUGUGCCUGCGGUAGCAGAGAACGAAGUCUGUCCACCUGUAAGCGAGAUAAUGCAUCAGAAGGUCCAGAGACCAUACCGUCACGGCCAUGGUGAUGGCGUAUAAUUCUUUAAAAGUUAUCGAUCGUCGUGUAGGAAUUCCCAUAGCCGCAAAAGUGUCACAAAACCACAUGUCCCCGAACAGACCCCCAAAAGAGGUAGCGCAGGCGUCCGUGUAUAAAUGUAAACGAAAUCAUUAGUUAACCAUUGCUCAUAAAAAAAUAUACUACGUCCGUUCCAUUAGAAAGUUCAACCAACAAUGAACAUCUUUAGUACAAUUCUUAUUCAGGCAAAUAUGAUGAUUAGGACGUCGCGCUUUGGAAAGUAGGUCGAUCAUACGACGCAGGAACGUUCUCCCUGGUCGACAAACAUUACAAAAAUUCAAUUUGCCAAUGAGUGAUUGAAGCUUGCGUUUCGUACAAGAUGUCUGUGAUUGCCAGGAUAAUAACAGGUCCAUAAUCUCCCGUAAUCUAUUGUCAGAGAUACGUGCCUCCUGUUUCUCACUAUCGAGCUCAAUACCUAAAAGUUCCAAUUUCGUGCAUGGCUUAACAUCUUGGCAGGGUUAGUCGAGAAGCAGGUCGGCGCAAGUGGUUAGCAUUUCUUGAAGAUAGUUUUCGCAUGUUGAAUCAGGGGCAACGACUCGGCGAAUUUUAAAAACAAAUUCGGCCGUAAUCCGAAUGAUAAGUCGACAAAAUAAGCUUACUUUAUGACCCCAUUUAUUUCGAUAGGCCACGUAGAGCCCAACAGUUCCCAAUCGUCGGGGUGAACUAAUAUAUGACGGAAAGCGUCUGAUAAAUCGAGUUUGCUCAUGAGAGUGCCUCUGUCGAAGCGGUUAAGGUAACUGAUAGCAUGAUCAAGGGAAUCAUAAGUACAAGAGUAUAGAUCUCUUGGUAUUCCGUCGUCGAUUGAAUGGCCGGCGGGCCAGGAUAAAUCAUUGAUAAUUCGCCAUUUAGGCGGGCUGGGGCGCUUUUAUGGUACUGUGCCCAUCGGCGAUCCGAGAAAAUGGUGGUUCGAAAAAGGAACCGGACUUGCGACCAAGACCGAUCUCCUUCUCGAGUUCGAGAGCCACGGCGCUACUGUUCGUAAUAGCUGAGAUGUGAUUUCGUUCUAUACGUAAAGAUCGUGUUCCGUUAAACCAAUAUGAACUCCUUGUGUAAUGUCGUGACACAGUUCAGAAAUGAAGUCAGGAUCACAACAAUCACGUAAAGAAUUCCGCCAAGUCCUGAUUGAAAGGAGAUUCAAGCCUUGGUAUUGAGUUAACAAUCGGCCAUGCUGUGGUCCCCACAACAGCACCGAAGGCUGCAAUCUCUUCUCUCUCGACGCCGUGGACAACUGUGUGCGAAAUUGUACGUCGAAAUCGUAUACGGCCCCCACUUGAACUUUCUGUUUGCUUUCUGUAUUAUGGAACGAUAUUGCGAUAUCACACAAUCCUUGGAGUUGUCUUGUUCGGCGAGCUUUCUCUCGUAGAGUGACCAAGCCUCCAGCAGUGGUCAAAUGGUUCCAUUGUAUAGUGCGACGAAUCCUUGGAGUCUGAACUUACACGGAGCUGUCCCGGUUUACGAUGUAACAAACUUGGAAAGUCAACAUACGUAUAAAAACCUUUACCUUUGGCGGCACCUCCUCCUUCUUGUGUUUCGGAUCCGUUUGUAGCUCCAGAAGCGGCGGAGGCUUCGCUACCCGCAACCCGCAACCCGAGCUUUCAGUGCCUUUUGCUCUACGCUGAGAUCACCUACUUGUUCGCUCAGGCUGCGAAUAGCGUUAAGAAUACCGGCCGAGCUGGAGGGACUGGCUGCUGCCCCAUUAUCGCCUCUCGUCUUCGUCGUCGCUGUAUUCGGCUUCUGCGGGGCCAGGACAAUACUUCGACAUGGGUCCGAAAUCGUAAAAAUCCUUGCUGAACUUGCAACCGGGGCAGAACUGUUUUCUGGCCUUCUUUGAAGACAUAGUAACGGAAAAUAAAAGAAAUUUAACGCAGUCAAUGUACAAGACGUGAAGCGAACGCACGAGGUUGCGAGAGUGAAGGAGAUGACGUAGACAUGGCAUAUGACCCUACCGUAUCUUUCCCAUUAAAAACUUUAUUAACUAUAUUAAUAUCACUAAAGCGCAACCAGCUCUUGAUUAACAAACGUCGAAGCAAUCGAUAUCCUGUUUCGGUCGUUUCAUCGUGGUCCUGUUUCGGUCGUUUCGGUUAUUCUGGUGGUUCCGGCUUUUAACCACAUGCCGCUUUGUUGUGUUAACCUUUCUGCUAUUCAUAUUUAUGUGUUAUAGUGGUAGAAGCAUGACAUUUAUAUCGGAUAGGCGUCAAGAAGUGCUGGAUAAGUGGAUUGGGAUACCGUAUCACCAAUGUGACUUUACAUUACCCGCACUUAUGUAACCAGUAAGUGGUGUGUGAAGCCUAUAGCAGUCCCAGACUGUGUUAACGGAGAAGGAUUUUCGGGUUCAGAACUUUGCCGAAGUUUGGAAAAUUUAUAAACGAGAAAGAAACUUCAUAGUGAUACCCUUUAUCUGUAAAAAGAAGGAGAAAGCGAGAGAUUCGCAGUCAGCGAGGGCAAGUUUAAGUAGUUGAUCAUCAGAAUAUUGCAAAUAGAAAUACGUCAUUAAUGUGCGGUCCUACAUUAUGUGGGCAUUAUAUAAUGUAAACUGAUGAGGGCCGAAGGGCCUAUUUUAUUGGCCAAUUUGAUGGAAGGAUAGUCGAUUUACCAAUUUCGAGUCCUGCAUCUGUGAUGCGGCGAACAGUUCUACCUUUUAAACGACUGCUUUUAUGCCCGAUUUCAAUAAAAUUACAGAGAAUGUAUGGAGGAUUGUAUGCUCUCAGGCGAAUAAAAGUGCAAUGUCCAAGGAACAAUUAUAGGGCUUUCUCUGGCAUCGUUUGAACGGAAAGUGUAUCACUCGAAUGUCAAGGGUUUUUUUUCGAGUUCUGCAUCGUGAGCCCAAAAUCUCUGAAACGAGAAAAUUCGAUAAAAUGUGAUGUCUCCCCACAUUUCCUUAUAAUAAAUGGCAGCCAUUUUGACAUUGGAUGUGCACUAUUACGCAUGCGUGGCGGCCAUGUUGUCUCUUAUUUCUGGGAAUGGACUGUUGGCCCAGUAUUGCAGGCGGGUCGUCGCUGUCACAGCAAUGCGGGCGCUCUUGUACGCCUUUUUGGGGGAGACUAGGACAAAAACCUAUUUUUGCUUUGCGCCUCCUGAAAACUAAAUCAAAAUCGAGUUAUCUUUUAAAGGACGGUGUUUUUAUUUUUAUUUUGCUUGAGCCAAAAAAAAAUGUAUUCGCGUUUGCAUUAUUUCCCCCCCGCAAUUAUGAUGUCUCGGUGUUCAGACUAUGGGCGGGCAUGUAUGUAUAUGCAAAAUCCAACUGGCGAGCUAUGGUUGGAUGUUCGAGGCUGGCAAGUUGUCAAAUGUAUGAGAAAAAGUAAAGAGAUAAAAAUAUAUCCGGCAACAAUCAGUGAAAGAUUUUCUAAAAGUAGAAAAAGUAAGAGGAAGGCAAGAUAGCGGAGCUGCUCUGUAAACUGUGAGAUUUCUACCGCGCUAAGCAAUGAACGUUGUUUAAAAGAAUCGGACUAGAAAAGCCGCUCAAACGGAUUAUAAGCAUUAAUUAAGCAGAUUAAAGGAUCAAUCUCUAAUAAACCCACUAGUCGCAAACGGAGAACUAACCAGAUGUUAAAUCAAUUAAAAAUGAGUCAUCUUCCAAA